rnacentral:rRNA from 1 species
GACGUAGGAUGCAAGCGUUGUCCGGAAUUAUUGGGCGUAAAGAGUUCGUAGGCGGUUGCCUAAGUCUGAUGUUAAAUACUGGAGCUCAACUCCGGCAUGGCAUUGGAAACUGGGUAGCUAGAGUGUGGUAGAGGUCUCGGGAAUUCCAGGUGUAGCGGUGAAAUGCGUAGAUAUCUGGAGGAACACCUGUGGCGAAAGCGGCUCACUGGACCAUAACUGACGCUGAUGCACGAAAGCUAGGGGAGCAAACAGG